UCAGGUAUUAAGAGGUUGCAGACAAUGGA
rnacentral:piRNA from 1 species